GAUGAACGCUGGCGGCGUGCCUAAUACAUGCAAGUCGAGCGAACGGACGAGAAGCUUGCUUCUCUGAUGUUAGCGGCGGACGGGUGAGUAACACGUGGAUAACCUACCUAUAAGACUGGGAUAACUUCGGGAAACCGGAGCUAAUACCGGAUAAUAUUUUGAACCGCAUGGUUCAAAAGUGAAAGACGGUCUUGCUGUCACCUAUAGAUGGAUCCGCGCUGCAUUAGCUAGUUGGUAAGGUAACGGCUUACCAAGGCAACGAUGCAUAGCCGACCUGAGAGGGUGAUCGGCCACACUGGAACUGAGACACGGUCCAGACUCCUACGGGAGGCAGCAGUAGGGAAUCUUCCGCAAUGGGCGAAAGCCUGACGGAGCAACGCCGCGUGGGUGAUGAAGGUCUUCGGAUCGUAAAACUCUGUUAUUAGGGAAGAACAUAUGUGUAAGUAACUGUGCACAUCUUGACGGUACCUAAUCAGAAAGCCACGGCUAACUACGUGCCAGCAGCCGCGGUAAUACGUAGGUGGCAAGCGUUAUCCGGAAUUAUUGGGCGUAAAGCGCGCGUAGGCGGUUUUUUAAGUCUGAUGUGAAAGCCCACGGCUCUACCGUGGAGGGUCAUUGGAAACUGGAAAACUUGAGUGCAGAAGAGGAAAGUGGAAUUCCAUGUGUAGCGGUGAAAUGCGCAGAGAUAUGGAGGAACACCAGUGGCGAAGGCGACUUUCUGGUCUGUAACUGACGCUGAUGUGCGAAAGCGUGGGGAUCAAACAGGAUUAGAUACCCUGGUAGUCCACGCCGUAAACGAUGAGUGCUAAGUGUUAGGGGGUUUCCGCCCCUUAGUGCUGCAGCUAACGCAUUAAGCACUCCGCCUGGGGAGUACGACCGCAAGGUUGAAACUCAAAGGAAUUGACGGGGACCCGCACAAGCGGUGGAGCAUGUGGUUUAAUUCGAAGCAACGCGAAGAACCUUACCAAAUCUUGACAUCCUUUGACAACUCUAGAGAUAGAGCUUUCCCCUUCGGGGGACAAAGUGACAGGUGGUGCAUGGUUGUCGUCAGCUCGUGUCGUGAGAUGUUGGGUUAAGUCCCGCAACGAGCGCAACCCUUAAGCUUAGUUGCCAUCAUUAAGUUGGGCACUCUAAGUUGACUGCCGGUGACAAACCGGAGGAAGGUGGGGAUGACGUCAAAUCAUCAUGCCCCUUAUGAUUUGGGCUACACACGUGCUACAAUGGACAAUACAAAGGGCAGCGAAACCGCGAGGUCAAGCAAAUCCCAUAAAGUUGUUCUCAGUUCGGAUUGUAGUCUGCAACUCGACUACAUGAAGCUGGAAUCGCUAGUAAUCGUAGAUCAGCAUGCUACGGUGAAUACGUUCCCGGGUCU
rnacentral:rRNA from 1 species